rnacentral:rRNA from 1 species
ACCUACGGGGCGCAGCAGUAGGGAAUUUUCGUCAAUGGGCGCAAGCCUGAACGAGCAAUGCCGCGUGAACGAGGAAGGUCUUCGGAUCGUAAAGUUCUGUUGAAGGGGAAAAAGAGCGGAGAGAGGAAAUGGUCUCCGAUUGAUAUUACCCUUCGAGGAAGUCACGGCUAACUACGUGCCAGCAGCUGCGGUAAUACGUAGGUGGCGAGCGUUAUCCGGUAUGAUUGGGCGUAAAGGGUGCGUAGGCGGCCUGCUAAGUCUGUAGUGAAAGGUACCGGCUCAACCGCUACAGGCUCUGGCAACUG